UGGGGAAUAUUGCACAAUGGAGGGAACUCUGAUGCAGCAACGCCGCGUGCGGGAUGACGGCCUUCGGGUUGUAAACCGCUUUCAGCCAUGACGAAGCUUUUGUGACGGUAGUGGUAGAAGAAGCACCGGCUAACUACGUGCCAGCAGCCGCGGUGAUACGUAGGGUGCGAGCGUUGUCCGGAAUUAUUGGGCGUAAAGAGCUUGUAGGCGGUUUGUCGCGUCGAUAGUGUAAACACGCAGCUUAACUGUGUGCCUGCUGUCGAUACGGGCUGACUAGAGGAGGGUAGGGGAGAAUGGAAUUCCCGGUGGAGCGGUGGAAUGCGCAGAUAUCGGGAGGAACACCAGUGGCGAAGGCGGUUCUCUGGACCUUUCCUGACGCUGAGACGCGAAAGCGUGGGUAGCAAACAGG
rnacentral:rRNA from 1 species